rnacentral:rRNA from 1 species
CGAUGAUGUUUAGUGAGGCUUCUUCCUGGCGGUCCUGGACUGGGCUCUCCCGGGGCCUCCGUGCCCUGGGGGACUCGCCAUCACCAGCCGGAAAGAUGUCCAAACUUGAUCAUUUAGAGGAAGUAAAAGUCGUAACAAGGUUUCCGUAGGUGAACCUGCGGAAGGAUCAU